rnacentral:rRNA from 1 species
CCGCGGGAUUAGAGUUUGAUCAUGGCUCAGAUUGAACGCUGGCGGCAGGCCUAACACAUGCAAGUCGAGCGGUAACAGAUUGAUAGCUUGCUAUCAAUGCUGACGAGCGGCGGACGGGUGAGUAAUGCCUGGGAAUAUACCCUGAUGUGGGGGAUAACUAUUGGAAACGAUAGCUAAUACCGCAUAAUCUCUUCGGAGCAAAGAGGGGGACCUUCGGGCCUCUCGCGUCAGGAUUAGCCCAGGUGGGAUUAGCUAGUUGGUGGGGUAAUGGCUCACCAAGGCGACGAUCCCUAGCUGGUCUGAGAGGAUGAUCAGCCACACUGGAACUGAGACACGGUCCAGACUCCUACGGGAGGCAGCAGUGGGGAAUAUUGCACAAUGGGGGAAACCCUGAUGCAGCCAUGCCGCGUGUAUGAAGAAGGCCUUCGGGUUGUAAAGUACUUUCAGUUGUGAGGAAGGCGUUGAAGUUAAUAGCUUCAGCGCUUGACGUUAGCAACAGAAGAAGCACCGGCUAACUCCGUGCCAGCAGCCGCGGUAAUACGGAGGGUGCGAGCGUUAAUCGGAAUUACUGGGCGUAAAGCGCAUGCAGGCGGUCUGUUAAGCAAGAUGUGAAAGCCCGGGGCUCAACCUCGGAACAGCAUUUUGAACUGGCAGACUAGAGUCCUGUAGAGGGGGGUAGAAUUUCA